UAUAGAGGAUGUACUCAGAAUUAUUAACACAGAGAGGGUGAAUCAAAAGGAAGCUAUUAAGGGUAUUAGUCAUUGUGAUAGUUAAUAAAUUAGCAUUUCUAGUCUUAUAGCAUUCACUUGAAAUAUUAAACAGCAGGAUAUACUAAUGUAAUUGUUUUCCUAUAAGUAGAUUUCUUUUUCUUUCUUUUAGAAAUGCCAUGGUUUCUAUUGUUGUAAUGUGAUAUGCUGAAAUAGGUAGAACUUAUUUUCAAGACAGGAAUAAUCAUAUUUAGGCAUCAUUAAUAAAUCUAAAAAUAAUGAUUAUAAUAUCUUCACCAUUGGAGAUGUUAGGAUACAACCUUCAGACUGAGCUGCAAUAUUGGGAAUAUUGGGCAGCAACUCUGCUACUAUCUUAAUGGACUGUGCAAUCUGCCUUGUUGCUGUGUUUAGAUUAGGACUAACCUUCCAAUUAGAAUAAUUUCUUAUCUGUUGUUACAUUCACUACCUGCAAUUAGUGGUGCACUUCCUUCAAUAUAUGUGGUUGAUAAGAUAACCAGUCAAAUAUGUAAGCCAUUCACAAAUUCUUAACAAUUAUUUCAUUCCAAAAAGAAAAGGAGUAAUUUUUCCACUCUAAGAAAAAGAUAAAAAGAGAUGGAGGGAGGAUAUGGAAAAAAUGAAAUUGUGAGGAGUAUGUAGUGGCAGAUUUGCAAGGAACUGGAGGUGAGAAGGGGGUGAAUGAUGAUCUUAGUACAUUGUAUUUAUGUAUAAAAGAGAGUAAAUAAAAUCUUGAAGGAACAAUAUUUACAACUGAAUGAAUAAUGUUAAAAACCUAGGACUAGAACAUUUUACUGAACAGUUCAUUUCUAUCUUUUGAGUUUCAAGUGUUCCUAUCAUUAAAUAAGCUGGUGAUAUAUUAUGGUAUGGAAUUGGUGACACUAUGGCUGGAAAUUUGAUGUUCCACUUAUUAGAUGAUGAAAUGUGAAAUUUCUCAGGGAUAAAAGAUACAUUUAACUGGAAAUUUUCUUGCAAUUGCUGUUUUCAAAAAUUUUUUAAUUAUUGGUUCCUUCUCUUAAUGUCUGUGAAAUGCUUAUCAAUUGCUUUUUCACAAAUGGUAUUUGUUAAGAGAAGUUUGACUAUAUAUCAGCCAUUUCCUGUAGGUGGAGGUUUAUGUUACAUCUGGUCCCACAGCUAUUUAAUCCCAAAUAAUCACACAGUGACUUAUAUUAAUUAUUAUAUUAAUUGGCUCAGGCUUCUUAUUGGCUAGCCCUCCCUUCAUUAUUAACUCACUUUUAUCAAUCUGUGAAUCUCCAUGUGGUUUUGGCUUACAGGUGAUGUCCAAGUAUCUUCCUUCCUCAGCAGCUACAUGGCAUCUCUCCAGCAACUCAUUCUCUCUGUUUGUCUUCCCCGAAUUCUCUUAGUCUGAUAGCCCCACCUAUACUUCCUGCCUCUCUACAUCCUGUCUGUCCAUUGUCCAUAAUAGUUUUAUUCAUCAACCAAUAUGAUAAACAUAUAUUCAUAACAUACAGAAGGACAUUCUCUUUCAAUUUUCAUAACCACAGGCUUUGCCCUGAGCUCUGUGGAUUUUCUUGAGGAGCUACUGAAACUUUUCAGUGUGUUUCAAAGCCAACCCCCUUUCUCUCCAUGAAGGACUACUUUUAUUAUUUUUGUUUUUAUUUGGGGUUAUGUAUUUGUUUGUAUGAAUGCAGGUAUCUGAGGAAGAAAAUAGAGUGAAAGAUGACCUGGACCUAGAAUUACAGGGAAUUUUGUGAGAAGUCUGACAUGGUUGCUGGGAACUGAACUUGGGUCACUGGGAAUUCCAGUAUACACUCAUAACUCCUAAACCAUCUUUACAUCCUGGGGACUCUUUUAAUCCAGAGGAAAUAGUUGCACAAAGCAAUCUGUGAAUCAAUGAAGGAAUAUUUGAAGGGGAUUUUCUGACACACCUAUAAUGCUUUAUAACAGAGAAUAGAGAUUUUAAAGUUGACAUCUUACCAAAAGUACAAAGAACCAGGAAAAAUUCAACAUUACCAGUAUAAUAUUUUACUGACAGAAAACAUCGGGGCAUCAAUUGUUAAUCAUAUAAUCUUCAGUGAAUACUAACAAGAAAAACAAACCAAGUUAGCUGCACACACAUGGCAUGUUUAACAGAAGCAUUAAGGUUGACAUGGAAAGGGAAGCUCUGUCUUUAAAUUGGCAUUUUCACACCUGAUUUGUGAGUUACAUAGACUCUUAAGAGUGGUUUCAUAUUGGCAUAGGUAAGCAAUGUCAUGAUGCUACCCAUACAGACUUCUAAAAGAAAAAGAUGCCAUUAUGGAAGGUAUUAUUUUAUUAUGAAAAUAGUGUGAUAUUAGGAGCUAUUUAAAUCUGUGCAGGCCCUGCUAAACAUAUUUUCUGUAGUUAACUAGUUAUACAACAAAUCCAAAAAUCAAAUCACUACUUUUGUCAUUAUGCAUCACUGGAAAUAUUUUCUAGUUUCUAGAGUAAUUAAAAUUGUCUCUGUACCCAUUUUUUUCUGUAAGAUUACACCCAAUCUCAACAUCAACAAACUCACUGUCAACAGCACUCAUUUCAGCCACCUUGAAAUUGCAAUCCUAGCAGCUUUAGCUUGGUCAGCAUGUAAGUAAAAGGGAUAUAGCUUUGUGAAUUAAAUUUAAAACCCCAGAACUUUGAGAUAUCCUUUGGCAAGGAUAAAGCUACAGAAAACCCCUCUGCACAAAUUCCAGAAAAUAAGAUUUUUUUCUUAUCAUUAAUAUUUUUUACUUGUCCACCAAGAUUCAAAUAUAUUUUCUUUAUUCACUGGAAUAUGUACAGUGACUCUAAUAUAUUUAUUUUUGAUGUUCUAAUCAUUUUGAUAGACUGGAAAAUGCUUUUUGAAAUUUUGUGAAAUAUAAAGGCAACAUGAAACCCUAGCAAAACUAAUACAGGUGAAAAUUAUCAAACAGCUUACUUGCUAUGUGCUAGGCACUAAAGAUACAGAAAUGGAAAUUCAUUAUGCCCUUUUGACACACAGCUCACAUGUAAGUCUACAAACAAGGAUUACACUACCAAUCCGUAAUAUCUCAGUGAUUGGUACCUCAAGAUAGAUGAACAAAUUCUGCUUUAUUCAAUAAGUUCAUGUUUUAAUAUAAUAGUCAAAAUCUGUGAAAAAUACAAAUUAAUCAUUAUUAUGUCUGUUUCAGGUACUUAAAAUGCUUUAUCUCUAACAGAAAGCAAUGAUAAAAAAUAGACAAAGAGAUAGCACAUGGGUGCUGUCAGGAUUAGUCCAGUUAGAGUGAGUGCAGUGUAGAAUUGAAAGCCUGGGAGCCUGGGGAUGUAUGUGCCACCUGUCACUCCCUUUUACCAGCUCUGAACUUGGUCAACUGCUUAGAAUAUUAUUGCACCAUUUUUCAAUCUCUGCCUGUGGCAGCUUAACAUAGUCACGAACACUCUCUUCCAUUCCCAUUUUACCCCCCCUUUCUUUUCAAUUUAAGUUAAUAUAGACUACCAUUUCUGAAGGUAGCCCUGAGGCCAAGGAGAAUAUUUAUAUCUGCUGCUACUCAGACAAUAACGGAGCCAAUAAAGAAUGUCAUAGAUUUUGCACUCUCCCCAUUAUGUUUCCUGGCUUCCUGUGGGUAUUCUAUGAAAGACUGUGGGUGUUCUUAAUCAAGGAAACAUCAUAUUUCUUUUAUCAUUCUGUCCUUGUAGUGUUUUCAUUUAAACAGAUUUCUUGUCAAGUGAUACUGAAGUUUCAAUAAUAUUUUCUUUAUCCUCUGAAACAUGUACAAUAUCUCUAAUAAUAUAGUAUAUUCAUUUUCAGUAUUCAAAUAAUUUUGAUAGACUGGAAAAUGCAUUUUGAGAUUUUCCCUAAUAUAAAAGCAAUAUGAAACUCCAGCAAGACAACUGCAGGUAAAAUAGCAGGUAUCUUUCAAAUCUCCAGUGUGAACAGAAGAAAAGCCACUGAGAUGUUAAAGCUGGUUCAGUGCCUAUGGUUAACUGGAUUUCUUACACCUUGGUAUAGAGAACUCUUUCUGUCUGUGGGUCCAGGAAUCUAUAAUUCUUGGUGCUUCUAAAACUGACAAAUGGUAGGCAUACAUACAUACAUACAUAUAUACAUACAUAUAUACAUAGAUACACAUAAUAGGGAAAUUGAAUAAAGACAGAUUACAUACUGAAUAUGUCUAUAUAAACACAAAGUAAUGACUAUUUAAAUUGUUUCCACUGAAUCAUUUAAGAAUUAAAUAUAGGCCAGUGAGGCAGCUCAACUGGAUCUAGAUGUCAGCUCUUCCCUCCAUGUCUAGUUUAGUCAGAAUUUUUAGCUGUAGUUGUUACCUAAGUUAUUUUUUAGGUGCAAAGCUAAUGGGGGACAAAGAUAAAAAUGGACACUUUGAUUUGCUUAAUAAAGUUGCAAAACUCAGUAUGGUACAUGGUAUCCCUUUCCAAAAAUACUUGACUUAAGUUGGGUGAUGAUUAAGCUCUUCAGUUAAACUUUCUAGAAUGAUGCAUGAACUAUUAUUCUGUGAUUUUGGGGCAAGCACAACAUUAACACAGAGAAACACAUAUCAUUAAGUAGAGUCAUUAAGUGACUACACCAGUGACAAACCCUUUAUGUGGGCAUUCUUUGAUUGAUGUUGUUCAUGAGUGGUUGAUCAAAAGAUAUGCAGGAGAAUAUUAACAAUAUUUUCUAUUUUGAUUUUAAUAGUCAUACAUUUACUCUCAUGGAGUAGGCCUUGAGACCAGUCAGAAUGCAGUUGGUUUUGUCCUUAAGAUGGCUAAUAUUGAUUGUCAACUUGACAUACCUAGGAAUAGAGAACAUCAGUGGAAGAACUGCCUUAGUUGGAUCUGCCUGUUCUUAUGUCUGUGACACAUAUUCUUAUCUUUACAUUUUAUGUUUUUAUAUUUAGAAUUACAGCAGUUCUCCCUUCCCUUUCCUCCCUCCAGAGCCUCUUACACAACCCUCCUUACUCUUUCAAAUUCAUUGCAUUUUCUUUCAUUAAUUGUUAUUGCAUGCAUAAUUAUUCCUAAAUAUAGCCUGCUUAGUCUGUAUAAUGCUACAUGUAUGCAUGUAUUCAGUGCUGGCCAUUUGGUAUUGAAUAACCAAUUGGUGUGCUGAUGUAUGCUUUCCUGGGGAACUUCACAUCUCCUCUCAGCAUUCCUUAGUUGCCUGUAGUUUUUUGUAUAGGGUUGAGGCUUUAUGGUUUUUCCCCAUCUACUUUAAUGUGUCUGUUUCUGUUGUCCUUGUUCAGCUCAUGUUUGAGGAGUCAUGUUAGUAUAAUUUUAUUGCAUUAUUAAGAGACACAAUCUCAGAGCAAAUUCUCCAAUCUUCUGAUUCUUACAGUUGUUAAUUCAAGUAAGAAAAUCCAACCUAUUAUUAAUGAUGUCAUCCCCAGAGGGAUGGGCCUGGAUUGUGAGAAAGGUCUGGAAUGAAGAUGCUUGGCAGCCUAGUCUUCAUCCUUCUAUGAGAAAUGUAGGCAACACUGGGAAAAUUGCUGGAUAUUUCCAGAUGUGUGUGAAAAGAGAGAACAUGGAGGAAAUCACUGCCCAAACCUGAGGCACAAAGAGGUAGAAAUGUCCACUGGAAACAGUGUUAGAUAUAAAUACUUGACCUGCCUUCUGUGAAUUACUAGGGCUCAGUGCAGACAAGUCUGAGAAUGACAAAAUCCAGGAGAAGCAAGAUGUAGAGGGUUUUUCAUAUCUUCCUUUGUAGCUUUACUUUAAAGUGAUUCAGCCAUUGUCAUUGUCAACAGUUCAAGACAAACAGGGAAACAAACAAAAACCUCCCUACCUAUUUUUGGAGCUGACUGGCCAUCUAGACUUUUGAGUGAAAGUAAGCAGACCCCUUUUUUAUGGGUUGUCUGGUUUUUGGUCCCAUCAACCUAGAAUCCUAGACAAUAGACUCUGAGAACAUUUCAACUGCUAAGAACAGUGGGAAUGAAACUAUGACUCUUGCACCAGGGGGGCCUUGAUUCAUCCACAGUCAUACCAGGAGAAGGGAACCACUUGAAAUCUGCCAGAGCAUUUUGUUAUUUCUUUUUAACAAAACCUGCACUCAGCAGAAGCUGUUUUGCCAAUUGUUCAGACCCAAAUCUGAACCUCAGUACAAGGCAAUCUCAGGUAAAGCCAUCAUACCCAAGUUAGAUGCAAAUGGCUGAAUUUGGGUAGUGCACAGACCAGAGUCUCAAGCUUACUACAUGACAAAGACUUUGUCAUCUCCUGGAAUGCAUAGUUUUUGGCAUGUCUUACCCACCAAAGGUCUAUUUACAGAAGUUCAUUUUCAGUACUAUUUCAUUUUUAGCUAUCCAGGAAAACUGGGAGGCAAAUUAAAAGGACAAUAAUAUCAUCAUCAUCAUCAUCAUCAUCAUCAUCAUCAUCAUCAUCAUCGUCAUCAUAUUUAUCAUGUUAAUAUCAUCAUCAACAACAGCAACAACAGCAAUUGUUAAGGAAAGUGUAAACAUUAAAACCAGACUCAAGUAUAGCAGAGCUGCUACAAUUAAUUUCAGAGGCAUUUUAACAUUCUAGUUAAUGAGCUAAAUUCAAUAAAGUCAAUAAAGAGCAAAUGACAUGUAAGAAACAGAGGAGCAAUGCUGGUAGAUUAAUGGAAAUUAUAAGAGAUGUAAACACAAACAAGCAACAAUGACAACAACAAACCUACUGAAGAUCAAAAAUAUAGUAACAGAAAUGAAGAAUGACUUUGGUGGGCUCAUGUGGUAGAAGAACAUUGGAAUGGAAGGAAGAGCUUCCCUCAAGAGAAACUUCCAGAUUUGAAACACAAAAGGAAAAAAAAAAGACUGAGAAAGCGAAGUCAGUACAAAACAACAGCUGAAACCUGUGGGACACCUACGGAGUAGAGCAUAUGUGCGCCGGAAACACAAAAUGACAUCUGAUUCAGAGAAUUAUAAAACACAUUUACAAUCACUGUAUCCCAACCUACACAACUGGCAGAAGGCGUCUUUCCCACCAGAGGAAAGGCCAGCUCCCUCAACCCAAGAGAGAUGGCAAAGACUAUUUCUGCCAUCAGGGAAAAAUAUAUCUGCCUUCACAAAUAUUUAAGGUGAGGGACCUGAGAUCUUAGAAGACCUUGUAAGGAACAGGCACAUUGAAGAUCAACACUUUCCUUGAUGAGCUGAUAUGGAAAAGAUGAGUUUAUGUUAAAACAGCUUAAGAAAGACCAAGCAACAUGUCUCUUUAUGGGAUGAAAGUACAAAGGGGGAAAGAAGAGAUCAUAGGGUAAAAGAAGUGAUGGAGUACAGAGGACAUGAAAGCAGGAAGAGAAGACUUCUCAGAGAGGGGAUGAGUAUGGACAAGAGCAGCCCACAGGAGAUGGGUACUGAGCAGUGCUGUGAAGGGUGUGUAUAUGAAUAAAUAAAAUUAUCAAGAAUUAAGAAAUUGUUCUUGACCCCUGAAAUGAAAUGUGAAGUGAAUCUCUAUUUUUUAAUUUUUAUUUUAAUUGACAAAUAAUACUUAUAUAUAGUAUAUAUAAAUAUAUAAUACUUAUAUAAAUUUUAUGGCAUACAGUGUGAUGGUUUAAUAGAUGUAUAAGUUUGGAAUUAUUAAAUCUGGCUAAGCAAUAUGCAUAAAUAGCUAAGACAGUAGGGAAAGUAAUUAAUGAUCUUUCUACAUGUUAUAUCACUCAACAAAUUUUUGUAGCUCGAGUUAUUUUAGUUCUUUUUACACCUCCAUGUUAGAAGUAACACUGUUUUACAUCACAUCUUCAUUGUGAAAGAGUAAUGUGAAUUUGAGUGUUUACUAACACACUUUUUAGUUCCAGAUGUUUUCAUGUCUGUUGUAAGUCCUUUUGUUUUUAAAUGAAGGAAUCUUUUUGGUGUUAACGGAAAACAGGUCUAUGUGUGAUGAGUUCUUCCAGGUUUUGUUUACCUGGGGAAGUGUUAGUCUGUCCUUACAUCUGAAGGAUAGUUUUGCUCAUAAAAUGCUCUUAGCACUUAGAAUUUUGUCCUUUCACAAUCUGGCUUCAAUGUCUCUGCUAAGAGAUUCUCUCAAUUCAGGGGUCGUUCUUGUGUUUGAUGGGAAGUUCACAUGAUCCUUGGAGAUAUUAUAUAUAAAAAUCCUCGAAAAUUAUUGUAUUGCCUAAUUAGUGCAAAUUUACUUGUUUUCUUACUUAUAUGUUGUUGUUUUGAACUCUUCUAUUGCAAAAUUAUUUUCUUUUGAAGAAUUGUUGAUUUCUUCCAGACUCAACUGAUUAAAUAUUUGGGGAGGGGAAAAUAUAGCUAGCAGUUCCAAUAUCUUGGAAAUUCUCAGAUCUUUGCUGUGGAUUCAUGCACUCUAUCCCUCUAUUUUCCUUGGUAGAGCUUCUCUUUUUAUUUUUUUUAAAGCCUUAUUUUCCAUACCACUCCCAGUUACCUCUCUCUCCUGUCCUCUUUCACUCCCCCACCAUCUCCCCACCCCACCCCCAUGCACUCCUCAGAGAGAAAGUGUGGCCUCCCACGGGGAGUCAUCAAAUCUGUCGCAUUAUCUGGGGAAGGAUCAAGAUCCUCUCCUGUAUCUUAAUAUUUGGUGUCAUUACCUUUCUUUGUAAAGUCAAGAUACAUGCAAGUUAUCUCCCGAUAAUUUUCAGAGAAGGUAUCUUGUAAUUCUCUAGGACCUCUGACUUUUCCUAGCCACAGACAUGAACUACCAGGUUGUACCCUUUGGGAGUCAUGGAGAAGGCACUCACUCACUGUACAGUCACACAAUAAAACAGUGAGAAGGAGUAGGUAAGACAAGUGAGUUGUGCAGGACAUUAGGGAUGUCCAUAGACCUCGGACUAGUGUCCACAUGCUCAGUGGCUUGUAUCUCCUGAUAUAGUCUCAAGGUGAUUAAGAUACUUAUGUCUUUGCUAAGUUUGGAGACCCAGUUGAGCUUUUGCUUUCCAGCCAUUUAAUUAAUAAUGCUCACCUUAGUGUUUUUUCUUUCUUCUUAAUAUAUAUUUAAUGAAUUGUUUGAGAAUUUCAUAUAUCCAUACAAGGUAUUUUGAUUAUGUUCACCCCAUUCCUUCCCCUAAUUCUUCCUAUAUAUAGCCUUCAACUCUGUAGCACUUCCUCAUUUUGUUUUCUUUUUUCUUUUCUUUUAAGUAAGGUGCAAGUCCAUUUUGUGAUGCAUGUACAAUCAUGGGUAUGAGGUCACCCAUUGUUGUGUCCUUUGCCUACCAGUGGCUGUAACUUUAAAGGAAACUAUCUAACUGCCAAUAACUCCUCUACAGAUAAGGAUGGGCCUCUUCAGAAGCUCCUCCCCCUACUCAUUCUGGACAUUGACUAAGUUGAUCUUCUGUAGAUAAUACACGGGAACUACAACAGAUGUGUAUUUAUCAGUGCAGAGGUGUGAGUGAGCUGACCCUCUUGGAAAGCCUUUCCCUCAUAUAGGAAGAAAAAACUUGUUCACUAUAUUCUCAGAUUCUCCUGUGCAAGAUGCAGACCAAAUAGAUCUGAGAACUGGGCUAGGUCAUUUAUGGGAAGAAUGCACAUCUAUACAUUGAAAGGACUGUGUACUCUCUUCAGUGUAUCAUGUUUUUUAUUUUUGUUUUUCAUUCAAAAGUAAGCUUAACCUUUCCUCUGGCUACUUAGACUCACAAAAGUUGUUUUGCUCAAUUGUGGUUGCCAAAAGUACUUUUUUAGAGGAGGUUCUAUUCUUCUACCAAAAUUCAUUGAGAAUUUAUCUCUGACUUAAUUUUAAAUAAGCUUGCAUUUCAAAGAGAUGGUAGAAGUGGCCCUGUGUAAAAGAGAUGGCCAACAAUAAACAUUCUGUAUUCUAUGUGGGAAGUCAGUUUUUAAAAGAUCUUUGAGUGUGUUGUUUCUUUUUUCCAGUUUAGCACCAGUGGCAGCUUAGCUCUAUUUUUCUUUUCCAGAUAAAAGCAAACAAUAUUCCUUAGACUCACAGGGAUGUUUCCAAUCAGAUAUACAUCUUGUAGGAAUAAUAUGCUAGCAACUUUAAUAAAGACCUGGGAAUAGAGACUGAAAGUCUCAUUACUGUA